UUCCGGUAGCGUGUGAGAGGUGGCUGGGAGGGGCGGGGAAGGGAAGGGGCGCUCUGGUCGGGACGGAGGCGGGGCCGAGGCCUCCUCUGCGCCGGGCGCCACCUGGGCCUCCCCCGAAAGGCCUCACCCCCGCGGGAAGAACUUCGUGAAGGAGGAAAAGGAGGAGGAGAGGGAGAAGAAGAGGAGGAGGGACCAUGGCUGACGGCGCCGCCUCGACCCUCGCCGAGUCCGGCUGGUACCUGUCAGAUGAAGGAAUUGAAGCUUGCACAAAUUCAUCUGACAAAGUCAACAUAAAUGACGUUAUCCUGAUUGCACUUAAUACAGACUUAAGAGCUAUUGGAAAGAAGUUCCUCCCUAGUGACAUCAAUGGUGGAAAGGUGGAAAAGCUAGAAGGUCCCUGUGUUCUGCAGAUCCAAAAAGUUCGCAAUAUAGCUGCACCAAAGGACAAUGAGGAAUCUCAGGCUGCUCCCAGAAUGCUGCGCUUGCAGAUGACGGAUGGGCACACAACUUGCACUGCGAUAGAAUAUAAUUACAUGUCAAAAAUAAGCCUGAACACACCACCUGGAACAAAAAUUAAAUUGUUGGGAAUCGUGGAAGUGAAAAAUGGCUUCCUUCUUCUGGAUGAGAGCAACACGGUGGUUCUUGGAGGUGAAGUGGAACAUCUUAUAGAAAAGUGGGAGUUGCAAAGGAGCUUAUCAAAACACAACAGAAGUAACAUAGGAACAGAAGGUGGACCUCCUCCCUUUGUGCCUUUUGGGCAGAGAUGUGCAUCACAGCUGCAAGUGGACAGCAGGGAGCUGGAUCGGAGAAAAACUCUGCAAGUGACAAGUGUGGCUAAGCCUGCUGGAGACAAUGAUGAAUUUGAAAAACAAAGAACAGCUGCUAUUGCCGAAGUAGCAAAAAGCAAAGAGACCAAGACAUUUGGAGGAGGUGGUAGCAGUACGCGAAGCAAUCUCAGUGCAAAUACAGGAGGGAAUCGAAGCAGAGAAGUCUUCCAAAGAGAAAAGAUAAAACCAGAGGGAAAAAAUGAAGGUGUCUAUCGAGAACUGGUUGAUGAAAAGGCUCUGAAACACAUCACAGAAAUGGGUUUUAGCAAGGAAGCAGCAAGGCAGGCAUUAAUGGAUAAUAGCAACAACCUUGAAGCUUCAUUAAAUUUUCUUCUGAACAGCAAUAAGCAAAUGACUGUUCAAGGGCCUCCCAUUAGAGGGAAAGGAAAAGGCAGAGGCCGAAUACGGCCUGAAGAUGAAGAAGAACUGGGAAAUGCCAGGCCAUCUGCUCCAAGCACAUUGUUUGAUUUCCUGGAGUCUAAAAUGGGUACUCUUUCAGUAGAAGAACCAAAGCUACAGAUGCCAUUGCAGCAGCAGGGACAACACAGAGUACUAAAUACUGAGCAAAAUGGCAUAAAAAUGUAUAACCAUCAAAGGCAUGUUCCUCGAAAUGAUAAUAGACAACCAAGAAAUGAGAAGCCCCCACGUUUUCAGAGAGACAGUCAAAAUUCAAGGCAUGUCACAGAUGGAAUUGGAUUAUUAAGAGCCAGAACAUCUGAAAGGCAAAAUUCUUUGGGCCCAGAUCAGUGGACUGAAGAGAGAAGCAAGUGUGAUAGACUUUACCCGCGAAAAGAUCUUGCAUUUCCAGCACCUGUUCACCCGGGUGACUUCCAGUUCAAGAGGAGGGACAAUCCCGUACAAAACAGGCAAGGAAAAGUGUCGCUUAUGGAGAACUCUUCUAGUCAAGAUUCAGCUGACAACAACAACCAGAAGCAAGCACAUAGGGAAACCCAGAUACACCAUCCUGAGAAUAUAUAUGACAGGAAAACGCCAGUGCUUGGAAAUGAAACAUUUGCCAGCAUAAAAAAUGAGCAGCACUUUGGUGUGAACAUAGAUUACCAAAACCCUGCUAGAACUGAUCGUUUUAGCUCUGUACCAAAUGGGGAUUUGGAACAUUUUCAGAAAGGAAGAAGAGUUGGACCUAUUAAAAUGCCUGCAGCAAAUGCAGCCGCACCUUUUGAUGUUAAAAUGUGCUAUGACAUUGUGCCCAGAAAAAGGUCUGGGCCUAUCAAACCAGAGAAAAUCUUGGAGCCAUCUAAUUCAGGAGAGUAUGGAAAAAGCUGGCAACCUGGAGAUGAAUGUUUUGCUCUUUACUGGGAAGACAACAAGUUUUAUCGGGCGGAAAUUGAAGCUCUUCAUUCCUCUGGGACAACGGCAGUUGUUAAGUUCUGUGAUUACGGAAACUAUGAAGAGGUGUUACUAAGCAACAUCAGGCCCAUUCAAGCUGACACCUGGGAUGAGGAAGAAAUGGGGUAUGAACAAACUUUAGAAUUCCGCCGAGGUGGAGAUGGACAACCUCGGCGAUCAACACGGCCGACUCAACAAUUUUAUCAGCCUCCAAGAGCAAGGAACUGAUAAAAGCGAACAGGAGAGAAAACCAAGGCACAAAUGGGCACAUUAUCUACUAUGGUAUAAAUGCCUUGAGGCAUACUUUCAAAAAAAAAUUGACUGCCACAGAUUUGUCAAUAAGAAGCAAUAACCGAAUCAAUUGUAGGGCAGCUCACAUAAACAAAAUAUAACUUUAAAGUUAAGAAUGGGCAAAGUAGUUCUGUGGACUAGAUAGAAUUCUUCACUCCUUUUCUUCUCAAAGGAGGAAAUUAGAAUUUUUACCAAUUUUCUCUUUAUUGUGAGAAAGUAGUUAGACUGUAUAAUUUUUAAAUUACUAUUGCACUUUGGGACUUAGCCUGUGCAAAAUUCACACACAUUUUGUGUGAGAAAUAGCAUUUUAUGCACAGGAAACGGUCAUUUUUUAAUACGUAAAACAUUGUUUCCUACACCGGAUAUACUGUUUUCUGCUAAAGCAAUUGUGUUAAUUUUACCCAGAAAGUCUCUAUAUACACAUUUUCUGUGUAGAAAAUAUUUUUGUCCAAAAUGUUUUCUGUACAGAAAAUGCUUUUCUUCCAUGCAAAAUAACAAAUGUGAAUUUUGCAUAGAAUGUGUCCUGGACUGUUUUUCAUCAACUCAGAAAGUAUUCUAUGCAGAAUUCUUAUUUGACUAUUUAUUCUGAAUACCUUAAUCAGUUCAGGAUUCUUCUUUUGAGGAUUCAAUCAAACUUGAAAAACAUAUUUUCCUACUUUUUUGUCAAAUAUGUUUUAAAAUUCCUUCUAUCUUUAGUGUGCUCCAUUUAUAACCCCUGAGUAGUGACUAUGCAUGUUCCUCAAUUUUUAAAAUAGAUCCCCCCCCCAAAAAAAAAAAUGUUAAAAAAGAGGGAAAGCUCUUUCAGGAAUUGUGUAAUUUCUCUUCAUCUUUUUGCCCUUAUAAGCUAUUUUUAGUCUUAGGCCGCUCUCCACCACAAUAAAUGAUGUAUAUGUAUAACAUAAUAUAAAAACUUCAAUAUGUUCAGAGAUAAUGGUGCUAUCUUGUCCCACACACUUUUACCGAAGAUAAACACAAGAGUGGGGCAAUUUUAAACCCGAGUUUCAGAAAUAUAUAAUACUGUACAAUGCUGGAAAAGCACAACAGACUGAAAUAGGCAAUUGGAAAACAUUUUUAAGGGAAAUGUCACUUUUGCUUUUAAAUAAAUGACUUUAUUAGCAGCAUUUGUCUAUCAUUUUUUGUAUUUCGUUGCUGUGCCUCUUUCACAGCCUCAUAGUAAGACUUCAGGAUUUCAACAGAUGGCUGGCAAGAUGCCUUAUGUGUUUGUUGUGGCAAAACCUCUUGAUGCUCUCUUCAGUGCUCAAGAUGUCUCACUUUGCCUGAAGGAUGGCACUUGACAACAAAGGCUGAUAAGAGCAGGAAGGACAAGAUAUAUUCCACCAGAGACAUUUUUUUAGUUUCAUGAUGCUAAACUUUUUACAUACAAAAAUCCCAUUGUUAAUAUUACCAUCAAUAAAAGCCACCAUGCUGUACUGUG